UACGAAGGGGGCUAGCGUUGCUCGGAUUUACUGGGCGUAAAGCGCACGUAGGCGGGUCGUUAAGUCAGGGGUGAAAUCCCGGAGCUCAACUCCGGAACUGCCUUUGAUACUGGCGACCUUGAGGCUGGAAGAGGUUAGUGGAAUUCCCAGUGUAGAGGUGAAAUUCGUAGAUAUUGGGAAGAACACCAGUGGCGAAGGCGGCUAACUGGUCCAGAUCUGACGCUGAGGUGCGAAAGCGUGGGGAGCAAACAGG
rnacentral:rRNA from 1 species